rnacentral:rRNA from 1 species
UACAGAGGGGGCGAGCGUUGUUCGGAAUUACUGGGCGUAAAGGGCUCGUAGGCGGCCAACUAAGUCAGACGUGAAAUCCCUCAGCUUAACUGGGGAACUGCGUCUGAUACUGGAUGGCUUGGAUCCGGGAGAGGGAUGCGGAAUUCCAGGUGUAGCGGUGAAAUGCGUAGAUAUCUGGAGGAACACCGGUGGCGAAGGCGGCAUCCUGGACCGGUAUUGACGCUGAGGAGCGAAAGCCAGGGGAGCAAACGGG